AUUGAACGCUGGCGGCAGGCUUAACACAUGCAAGUCGAACGAGUGGCGGACGGGUGAGUAAUGCUUGGGAAUCUGCCUGAUGGAGGGGGAUAACUACUGGAAACGGUAGCUAAUACCGCAUACCAUCAGAUGAACCCAUAUGGGAUUAGGUAGUUGGUGAGGGAAAGGCUCACCAAGCCGACGAUCUCUAGCUGGUCUGAGAGGAUGACCAGCCACACUGGGACUGAGACACGGCCCAGACUCCGACGGGAGGCAGCAGUGGGGAAUAUUGCGCAAUGGGGGCAACCCUGACGCAGCCAUGCCGCGUGUAUGAAGAAGGCCUUCGGGUUGUAAAGUACUUUCAGUCGGGAGGCGUUACCGACAGAAGAAGCACCGGCUAACUCCGUGCCAGCAGCCGCGGUAAUUC
rnacentral:rRNA from 1 species